rnacentral:piRNA from 1 species
UAGUCUGAUGAGGGUGGAGGCUUGGA